rnacentral:rRNA from 1 species
GUGUCAGCAGCCGCGGUAAUACGGAGGGUGCAAGCGUUGCUCGGAAUUAUUGGGCGUAAAGGGCAGGUAGGUGGUCUUAUUUGUCUGGGGUGAAAUCCUUGAGCUUAACUCAAGAAGUGCCCUAGAAACGGUAAGACUAGAGUCCUGGAGAGGGUCGUGGAAUUCCCGGUGUAGCGGUGAAAUGCGUAGAGAUCGGGAGGAACACCAGAGGCGAAAGCGGCGACCUGGACAGGAACUGACACUCAACUGCGAAAGCGUGGGGAGCAAACAGGAUUAGAUACCCUGGUAGUCC